UUAAUUGAAGAGUUUGAUCAUGGCUCAGAUUGAACGCUGGCGGCAGGCCUAACACAUGCAAGUCGAGCGGCAGCGACUUAACUGAACCUUCGGGGAACGUUAAGGGCGGCGAGCGGCGGACGGGUGAGUAAUGCCUGGGAAUAUGCCCUGAUGUGGGGGAUAACUAUUGGAAACGAUAGCUAAUACCGCAUAAUCUCUUCGGAGCAAAGAGGGGGACCUUCGGGCCUCUCGCGUCAGGAUUAGCCCAGGUGGGAUUAGCUUGUUGGUGAGGUAAUGGCUCACCAAGGCAACGAUCCCUAGCUGGUCUGAGAGGAUGAUCAGCCACACUGGAACUGAGACACGGUCCAGACUCCUACGGGAGGCAGCAGUGGGGAAUAUUGCACAAUGGGGGAAACCCUGAUGCAGCC
rnacentral:rRNA from 1 species